CUUAUGAGCGACACUUGUUCUGGGGGUGGAGUGUCCCUUUAACAAAUAUUGCUGCCCAGAAAAAUGAUGGCUGAGAAGCAAGUGCCCUUCUGAAAUGGCUGCCCCCGCCGCUUCACAUUGCUUCCGGCGCCCCUGAUUAGCAUGCAUUUAAAAUAACAACACAAAAAUUUUAAAAUUCCAGAUCAAGAAUCAAAAUUUCCUUCGGGGGAUGCAAAGGUUUGAAAGACUUGAAGUAUAAUCUGUUGAAUUUAA